UGGCUCAGUUAAAGCCUCUGCCUUCGGCUCAGGUCAUGAUCCCAAGGUCCUGGGAUCGAGCCCCGCAUCGGGCUCUCUGCUCAGCAGGGAGCCUGCUUCCUCCUCUCUCUCUGCCUGCCUCCUUGUCUACCUGUGAUCUCUGUCAAAUAAAUAAAUAAAAUCUUAAAAAAAAAAUCUUCCUUGUUCAAACUUUGCCUAUGGCUAAUACCUUCUGACUGAACCCAAGGGUCUUUCAGAUUCUAAUCCCUCCUACCAGCUCACACUGUAUAUGAAGCCUAAUUGAUUUCUCCUUGUCGGUUCUCUGCCUUUCGCAGGUCCACUCCUCCAUUCCAUACCCAGGUCACACCUUCAAUGGUCCCAAGGCAGCACAAUCCUUGCACACACUCUCCCCAACUCCUGCAAUCCCUUCCCCAGCUCCCUCACUCAGAGUCAUCCUUCCAGACAGGAAUCUGCAUCUGGGAAAACUCCCCACUUCUACAACUACCUGUAUCUGCCCAUUCCCCAGACCUCUCUCAUUAAAGAAUAUUUGAGCAGAGACCUCAAGGAGCUUGGAGGGUAAGCAGAAGGAUGUUCCAGUCAGAGAAGAAAGCGACUACAGGAGUCCUGUGGUGGGUGUGUGACUGAUUUUAACUAUAGCUGUGUGACAAGACAGUAAGGAUAUGGAACAGAGCGUGACAGAGCAGGGGAGGGAGAAAAAUGAGAUAAAAUGGGGGUGGGGAGUGCGGCAGAGCAUGAGGGCCCUGUAGGCCACUUAAGAUCACUGCUUCUUCCUCCGAGCCUGGCAGAGAAAUGAUCUGACUCACAUUUUUACAAACUUACUCUAGUGGCUGGGAGUAGAACACAACUUUGGAGGUUCUGUCCUAACUUACUAAUUUUCUUUGUAAACAAGAAUAUGUGUGUGUACAACUUGUAUAACUAGAAAAAAUAAUUUUAAAAUAAAUAAAUAACCCUAGCAGCCUGCUACAAAAUUAAGUCCUGGCAGAAUGUUCACAGUUGCAUGAGGCCAGACCCCACAGGAAGACAAGAUAGGAUCUGGGGUUCCAUUUCUCCAUGUUAAUUUCCACCUUUUAGAUUCAGUGUACACAAAGGGGAGUCCAGAGGAGAUAGGAGACAAUAUGGGCCAGAUGCAAAUCGUGAUUUGUUUAAACUUUCUAAACAGACUUAAAAUUGGGGAUAAUAUCAAUAAUAA
rnacentral:lncRNA from 1 species